UCGCAUACCAACAGUUAAGGGAGGAACCGUAACCAUCAAUUGUUCUUUCACCUAUCCUAAAGCUCAACACACUUCAAAUGUUACAAUUUACUGGAAAAUCUGGAAUACAAAUGGGAUAGCUAAAUGUGACAAGACAGACAACGACAAACGUGCUUUCGUAUUUCAUCCAAAUCACACAUGUGUAGACUCGCAGUUCAGCAACAGGACAAAACUUAUUGGAAAUAAAACUGAAGGAAACUGCUCUCUACAGAUCAAUAAUAUAACACAAAAUGAACCGCAGAUCUACCUGCGGGUUUGGGGACUGAACAACAACUACAGCUUUAUAAAGACAAAUGAGUUGGUGUCUUUUUACAUUGCCGGCGUGAAUUCAAGUACCUUAAAUCCCACAUAUCCACCAGACACAGAUACCACAGUGGACGUCUCAACAACGAUCACAGCAAGUAACUUGCCUACGAUGCCUGAUGACAGAAACCAGAGUCUGUAUCUGGCCACCUUGGUACCAAUUGUUGGACUUAUUUGCCUUGCUGCUGGGGGGACAGUUGCUUACAGAAAACGCAAGCGGUCAAAAAAGGUCACGCGGGAGGAGUCUGGAUAUUAUAUGAACUUCAAACAGACAUCUUCUCAUUCACCUGAAAGUGAACCCCCUUGUCAAACAACAAACAAAUUGCCUCCAGAUCCCAAAGUAAUUGAUGAACCUGUUUACAUUAAUUAUGAGAUAUCUGAAAAUCAGAUGGGUCAACAGAAGGAACACAAAGACAAUAUCUAUGGAAAUGUGGACUACACAUAAAAGCUGUUUCUGACAGCUAUCACAAGGCUUUUACGUUGAAGAAGAGUUUGUAAUCUGUAUUAUUUUUUGUUAUUAAAUGGAUAUGUGCAAUGAGAAUUAUUUAAUAUCUGUCAACAGAAUUAGGAAAUGGUGCACUGCCCUGGCUUGCAACAUAAACUGAAACUCCAAAAUGUAUUAAAAGGGAACCUCAUUUUGCACUGCUUGCAUUGAAAAUUGGUUAACGGGCCAGUAUUCAUCAUCCAUUAAGAAUGUUUAAAUAAUAGUUUAAAUGCAUUUGCAUAGGAAAAAUAGCCAACAGUUUUGAGUGUUUGAGCUUCCAAUAAGGGUUUCUACAACUUUUAUAGCUGAAGUCUGGCCCCUUCAACAUCUCUGCUGUGUCUUUCUCUGACGUAAACCAAAAUAAACAGGAACUUAAGAGUUUUUACAGGGAAAUAAAAAAAAAAAAAAAAAAAAAUAAACUACUGCCCAGGUUUGAAUGUGCAUGACAUUUUAAAGUUAGUUAUAAAAAGACAUCUCUACCAGGUAUGUUAACCAAUUUAACUGUUGUUAUUAACAAGGAUUCACUUGUAUCCUUAUUUAAAAAUCAUUACAUAAUUCAUGGAAACGUAUUUCCUUAUUACUCAUGUGCUUUUAUGUUAGCAAAAUUGGGAUUCUUGUGAGAGAGGCUAAGCAUGAAUAACCACUAUGCAGUUAAAAAACCUAAAACCAGGUCAUAGUUGUACUACUAAAGCUGUGCUAAGCAGGUACAACAAGUAUUUACAAGCAUAUUACCACCAGUGUAAGAGUUAAUUUACCUAAUUCUUGCUAUAUUUAUUCAUUUUUCAAAAAUCAAACUCACAUUUUCUAACAUCAAUUCAGGAAAAAGCAGAACAUUAGGCAGUACACAACUCUAAGUAUGUAUUUAUGAUUUAGGUAUACAAAUGAGUCACUUAGUAAGGAAAUGUACUAACUUCUGAGUUUAAACAAAUAAUUAAAAGAUUUUCUAUAAUAUAAGUAGUUAAUGUAGUGUCUAUUAAACAUAAAUAAUACUUUUGUAUUGGCCUAAAACACUCAUCUGUUAGUAGUGUUUGUAACAUGUUUGC